UACUAUGGCGGUUGCGCGCGGGAGACCUUCGGGUCUGCCGGUUUUCGUUCCCGGUUCGCCAACCUGCGCGCAACUGCCACCCUA
rnacentral:antisense_RNA from 2 species